UCUUCUUUCCCUCCUCCCCCGGUAAAUCCGAAGUUUCCUGUUAAGCACGGGCGAAGCUUUGCAAAGCGGUUGCGGAGCCGCCCGCUCGCUCCUUGGGAUUACCGUCGGGAGAGACUCCGCUCGGCUCCGAUCGGCUCGGGAAGGGCCCCCGCCCCCGCCACCUCUUCUCCUCCUCCUCCCCAGCCUUCCUCCAUCCCCGAGGGCGGACGCUGCACGCCGAGCCCCGGUCUCCCCCCCGCCUCCGUUGGAUAUACGUUGUCGUUGGGGAGCUGUGUAUGGAGGGGGGGGUCGUCCGCCUUCCUUUGCCCCGAUUGCAGCCUGGUCCCAUGUGAACCGCACGGCACGGCUAUGCUCCUGGGGACACCGAGCUCCGCCGAACUAAGGUCCUGGCUGCUACCAUGAGUGAUGGCGAGAGCCGAGAGCCGCGCCCGGCCGGCGGCGAGGUGCGGGUGCCCAUCACCGUGCCGCCCCGCCGCCCCGCCGAGCAGCCCCUGGACGAUGCCGGCUCCGUUCCCAGCGGUUCUCCCAGCCGCGACCCGCCGCCCGACCUGGCCUCCGAGGAGGAGGAGCAGGUGCCUUACCCGGCUCUGGCACCCACCGCUUUCUUCUGCCUCAAGCAAACCACCCGCCCGCGCAGCUGGUGCCUCAGGCUGGUCUGUAACCCAUAUCCUUUCCCCGAGGGGCACCGCACCCCGCACCAUCCCCAUCCCACUCCCGGAGCCCCUUCCCGUGCCCGGAGCACUUCACCAGGGUUCUGCAUCCUAGUGCCCAGGGAUGCUUGGAGCCCUGGGGUCCCUGCGGUUCCCUCUCUGCACUGCCCUGGUUCCCAUUCCCAGGAGGAGGAUGUGGGUCUGCACCCCCUCGCUGCAAGAGUGGGACACGUCAGUGUGCAUCACCCCCCAUGUAUAACCCCCUGCCCUGGGGAGGAACACGGUGAGGUCUCAGCUGUGGUAUGGGGCAGUGGGAUGAGGUGCUCCGGUGUCACAGGGAUGGGGACAGCACCGAGUUGCCACCCGCAGAACAGGGAGAAACCCUUCAACUUCGCUUCUCUCCCAGUCCGGGUGGGAGGGAGAGAAGUUUAUAGGCGACCUCGUAUUUAUUUGAGACGCGGUGGGGAAUUUCAGACAGGCGCUGACCCUUUUGCUGUUUAUAUAAGAGCUCAGAGUGCAUGUGUGCUUUCUCGUGGCAGAAAAAUGGAGCGGGUCGGAGUUUGGGGAGGGCACACACAUUGCUCCUAAAAACUCCCCUUUGCUUUUGUUCUUUUGCAACUUGCAGGCAGGGAAGGAGGAGGGAGUGCAAAGCUCUGCAUCUUCCCCCGUCUCCUGUGUCCUUUAUCCAGUUUAUUAAUGUUAAAUAAGAAAGAGCAGUCUGUUCCUUUCAGUUGUGACAUACGGGAAAAUUGAAUUUUACCCGAAAUGCUUGUGUGAAAGCUGAGAGUUGUCAGUCUGUCUCGGUGAUCUUCAGAAGUGAGCUUUUAGCUGUGCUCCGCACGUCAGCUCAGCAGCAUUGACAUUGUGCAGAUAAUUAAUGCUUUUUACCUCUACCCUGGUACCUGCCUGCAGCUCACUGCCUGCAUCCUGCCGCCGCUAUUAAAAGCAUUAUUUAUUAAUACUGUUAGUAUUGAUCUCCUUUCAGUUAACCAAAGAAACCCGUGUGCAUCUGAGAUCGCCGCUUUCCACCACCCGGUGAGCGGUGUCAUUAGGAGGAAUUGCACAACCCUCCUCAGGACGUUGCCUUAAUCUGUAAGGAAGAGAAAUCUUGGAGGGAAAAGCCCAUGGGUUGUUUUUUUUUUUUAUGGCCUUGAGCUUCCCCUUGUUUCAGCUGGGUUCACGUAAAGUUGCGCAGAGAGAUUUCUGCUUUAUGCUUUUGCAAGAAGGGCCGUGUGUGUAUUGAAGGGAGAAGGAAACGAGCAGGAGCUGUGCACAGCAAUGCUUCGGCCCUAUAGCCAAUAAACGUGGAGGAUAGUUCUGUAAUUAAAAAAAGUGAAGUAUCCAUUCCAUAUCCUCAUAUCUGAGGCAGAGCUGUUCCCACAAAGUAGAUUAUCUCCUUUCAAAACUUUGGGGGCUAAAGGAGGGUGAGGCCUCUCCCCGGGCUCUGGCAGCAGCUUGCUCUGGAGCAUUGCUCUGGGCUCAGCAGUCUUAAUGCACAGGUGCUGCCAAAUUAACCCACAGCUGAUAGGAAGCAGAGUGGUGUCACCUCCCAGCCAACAGCAUUCUAGGGAAAUGGGUUCAGGUGCGCUUGUGUGGGUGAGGUUGUGCUCUUAUUGUUGGGCAGAACUUUGUGUCACAGCAUCUUGCCAAAGAAUUCACAGGAGAGCAAAUUCCUUUGUAAAACUUAACUCGUGUGACAUCAUAUCGGAUGGAAAUUGUGACUGUUGGUUCACAGUGAGGCAGAAAUCUAAUAAAAGCUCAUAAGCCCCUUCUUCAGCAUUACUGCUGUCGGAACUGGCAUGUUUUGGCUGGAACAGAACAACGCUCGUGACAGGGGUCAAGCUCCUGGCUGGGAUUUUUCCCCACCUCUGUCUCCUCUUGCCCACCACUAGUCCCAUGUGCUGCAGUGAGAAAGUGUCAGCCCUUAAAUUUCUUGGUGAGAGUGUUUGCAGUGCUGCUGGGUGUGCUUUUGGAAGCUGUGCGGAGGAGUACAGAGGUGUGCAUCGCAUUGGGAACUGGGGUUGAGUGCGUGGCAGUGUUGGGCUUCUCAGGGAUGGAUGCCACUGCUGAGGGCUGGGGAACUUGGAGAGAUUGGAGGGCUGAGGUCCCCCCAUAAGGACUGAGAUCUCUGCCAGUGAUGUCCCAGGGGAAGAAAUAACUUGAAGCAGAGGUUGGAAGCACUGGGGGGUUUCUGGCCAGCCAUGCAGUUGUGGUGACUCUUCCUGCCUAUGUAAAAGCACAGAUCCAUAAAGCAUGAUAAUUAUCUUUAGGUUUGCAUUAAAAUCUCCCUCUGUUGCAGACAGAAGGGUGUAACUGUGGAGUUCUUAGAAUCUUGUGUCUGAGGUGCAUGCUUCUCUGGGAAGCACUGAACCUUUCUGUAAAGCGGGUUUCCUCCUUCAGUGCUGCUUUUUGUUGUCCUUUGCAUUCUUUGUGAUUGGGAAUGCUGGGGAAGUUUUCCCUCUGAGCCUCUAAUGCCCCUGUCCCCCCUGUCCCCGGCUCAUGGGGUAUUUCACAGCGUGGGGUUCAUUGUUUCUAUGAUAUUCUUGCUCGGAAACUUGCACGCCGCUAUGCAGAAAGCCUUUAUUUACCCCUGUGCUACUGCGUUGUCUGUCUGCCCAGCAUGCCUCAAAUCCUGUGGGUGCUCCAUCCUGCACGACUGGGGUUCUGUUUCCGUGUAGGCAGCUCUGUGGCAUCUUCCUGGGGUUGACACCGCAGAUCUGGGUGCAGGAGCAUCCUAAAAGGAGACGCCGUUGCAGCUCAAGAAGUGCUGCUGAGUGCAUCUCCUGGCUUAGGGCAAGCCCUUGUCAAUCCCACAUCACUUGAACUGCAAAAGCAGCCCAGCCGCUCGGAAUAUUUGUUGUCAGCAGAGAUAGCGCAGACCUGUGCCCCGGAGCAGGUGGAAUCCCACACGGCUCAGCCAGAAGCAUGGUUCCCUCUGCAGCUUAAGCAGGAGGGGGCUGCUGCCAGGCUUAGGAGCAGCUAAAAAAAGCCCCUGCCUGGUCCUUAGGGGGACAGGUGGGGCUGGGAUCAGCUUACGGGACCGGGAGCGUGCCGGGCUGGAGGCAUGCAGCCACCCCAGGGCUGUGCAUCGGGUGCUGGAGCAGCAGGCAGGAGGUGUGUGGCUGUGGGGUCGGUGACGGUACUUCAUUUGGAAGUGGAAAAAUCUCCCCCC